rnacentral:rRNA from 1 species
AUGGAGCACACUUGUCCAGCAUCAGCAGAGAACACAAAAGUUACUACUAAGUGGCUUUCCAAAGAAGUUGAGCAAUCUCUUAGAGCAGAUCCUAGAGCACCUGUGGAUUCACUUAUUAAAAACAGCAAAGUCAAGUUUUCAGUUGAUGUAUCAAAGAGUGUGGCCUAUAGGGCAAGGAGGAAGGCUAUGAAGGUUGUACAAGGUGACCAUAAGGAGCAGUACUAUAGACUGAGGGACUACCUACAAGCAGUUCUUGACACAAACCCUGGUAGCAGGUGUGUAGUUACAACAUUUGAGGACCCAGAAAACCCUGCCCCAACACCUAGAUUUAAGUACAUGUUCUACUGCUUGCAUGCAUCAAAGCAAGGAUUUCUUAAUGGUUGCAGGCCCUUUAUAGGGCUUGAUGGUUGCUUCAUCAAGCUAACCACUGGACAGCAAAUACUUGCAGCCACAGGAAGAGAUGGCAAUAACAACAUCUACCCCAUAGCCUUUGGUGUGGUUGAUAAGGAAGAUUCAGAUAGUUGGACAUGGUUCCUAACCCAGCUAAGAUGUUGCAUUGGAAGUGGUAGCAAAUUUGGAACCUACACCAUUAUUUCUGACAGGCAAAAGGUAUGCACCCUAUCUUAG